CCGCACCUCUGCCCGCCACACCCCCCGUUCUCUGCACGAGCGGGAAAAUCCGAACGGCGGGACUACGCUUCCCGGCGUGCCCCGCGCGCCGGCGCCGCGGCGUGGGGCUGAGGAGCGCCGCGAGGUGUCAUGGGAGUUGUAGUCCUGCUGGCGUGAGGGGAAUCUGGGGUGUCAAGUCCGGAGCCAGGCUGGAUCUCACAUGGGGACCCCAAUGGCUAUACCCACAGACACCCCUGAACCCUGCGCACUGUGAGAAAAUGUUUUAGCCACCUGAAGUCACUCACAAGGACUUGAAAGGGUGACGGCGUCUUUGCCAGGGAAGAGAUCCAUCCUGGAAUAGCAAACUUCAAAAGACUUUACAGAGGAGAAACACUUUUGUGAUUCAGGGAACCCGUGAAUACUUUGCCGGAACAUAAAUUUCCCCCAGCGAUGUUGGGAACACAAGGAGAGCCUUAAUCUGCUAAUGAAUGAGCUCUGCAAAGUGAGACCGGGCUCCGCUGCCACUUCCAGAGGGAUUGAAUUGCAGGGAGGAAGCUGGAGGAAAGAGAUUUUUAAAAGUCCUUCUGCUUUAGCACAAAUAAAUAAUGCAUCAGCACGUCUGGGGUGGCGGCGGGUGAGUCCCUCCCCUGAGGCACUGGGGAGCCCACCCGAAGUUUUCCAUGCUCCCAAAACAGGAAUAACAUGGGGUUGUAGUGACAGGACAACGGGAAUGGCUUCAAACUGGCAGAGAGCAGGUUUAGAUUAAAUGUGAGGAAGAAAUUCUUCCCUGUGAGGGAGGCGAGGCC